AACACUGUUAACCUGCGGUACCUGCGGAAGGAUCAUUAGCAAUUGUCCGUCUUCAUGGAUAAUUAUAUAUCCAUAUCCACCUUGUGUGCAUUACUGAAGCGUUAGUUGGCAGGUUUUUUUUUCAGGCUUUUCCGAGCUUUGAAGCGGUUGAGAAAACCAGGCCUGCCAAUUUUAUGUUUAAAACAUGUCUCAAUAUUGCUUGUCUGAAAUUGACAUAUCAUAAUAAAUACAACUUUUAAC
rnacentral:misc_RNA from 1 species